rnacentral:rRNA from 1 species
GACGAACGCUGGCGGCGUGCAUAAUACAUGCAAGUAGGACGCAGUUGCGAACGGGGGAGUAACGCGUAGGUCACUGCCUAUUAGAGGGGGAGAACUAUAGGAAACGCUAGCUAAUACCGCAUACUAGUAGAUGGACCUGGGUUGUAUUAGCUAGUAGGUAGGGUAAUGGCAUACCUAGGCGACGAUACAUGGCCGACUUUAUAUGCUGAUCGGUCACGCUGUGACUGAGAAACGGCCCCGACUCCUACGGGAGGCAGCAGUAGGGAAUCUUCGGCAAUGGGGGGAACCCUGACCACGCAACGCCGCGUGAGUGAAUAAGGUUUUCGGAUCGUAAAGCUCUUUUGUUAAGUAAGCGGUACUUAACCAGAAAGGGACGGCUAACUACGUGCCAGCAGCCGCGGUAAUUC